GGGUUGUGAGGUUAAGCGACUAAGCGUACACGGUGGAUGCCCUGGCAGUCAGAGGCGAUGAAGGACGUGCUAAUCUGCGAAAAGCGUCGGUAAGGUGAUAUGAACCGUUACAGCCGGCGAUGUCCGAAUGGGGAAACCCAGUGCAAUUCGUUGCACUAUCGUUAACUGAAUACAUAGGUUAACGAGGCGAACCGGGGGAACUGAAACAUCUAAGUACCCCGAGGAAAAGAAAUCAACCGAGAUUCCCCCAGUAGCGGCGAGCGAACGGGGAGCAGCCCAGAGUCUGAAUCAGCUUGUGUGUUAGUGGAACGGUCUGGAAAGUCCGACGGUACAGGGUGAUAGUCCCGUACACCAAAAUGCACAGGUUGUGAACUCGAAGAGUAGGGCGGGACACGUGGUAUCCUGUCUGAAUAUGGGGGGACCAUCCUCCAAGGCUAAAUACUCCUGACUGACCGAUAGUGAACCAGUACCGUGAGGGAAAGGCGAAAAGAACCCCGGCGAGGGGAGUGAAAAAGAACCUGAAACCGUGUACGUACAAGCAGUGGGAGCACCUUCGGGUGUGACUGCGUACCUUUUGUAUAAUGGGUCAGCGACUUAUAUUCUGUAGCAAGGUUAACCGUAUAGGGGAGCCGCAGGGAAACCGAGUCUUAACUGGGCGUUAAGUUGCAGGGUAUAGACCCGAAACCCGGUGAUUCAGCCAUGGGCAGGUUGAAGGUUGGGUAACACUAACUGGAGGACCGAACCGACUAAUGUUGAAAAAUUAGCGGAUGACUUGUGGCUGGGGUGAAAGGCCAAUCAAACCGGGAGAUAGCUGGUUCUCCCCGAAAGCUAUUUAGGUAGCGCCUCGUGAACUCAUCUUCGGGGGUAGAGCACUGUUUCGGCUAGGGGGUCAUCCCGACUUACCAACCCGAUGCAAACUACGAAUACCGAAGAAUGUUAUCACGGGAGACACACGGCGGGUGCUAACGUCCGUCGUGAAGAGGGAAACAACCCAGACCGCCAGCUAAGGUCCCAAAGUCAUGGUUAAGUGGGAAACGAUGUGGGAAGGCACAGACAGCCGGGAUGUUGGCUAGAAGCAGCCAUCAUUUAAAGAAAGCGUAAUAGCUCACUGGUCGAGUCGGCCUGCGCGGAAGAUGUAACGGGCUAAACCAUGCACCGAAGCUGCGGCAGCGACACUAUGUGUUGUUGGGUAGGGGGAGCGUUCUGUCAAGCCUGCGAAGGUGUGCUGUGAGGCAUGCUGGAGGUAUCAGAAGUGCGAAUGCUGACAUAAGUAACGAUAAAGCGGGUGAAAAGCCCGCUCGCCGGAAGACCAAGGGUUCCUGUCCAACGUUAAUCGGGGCAGGGUGAGUCGACCCCUAAGGCGAGGCCGAAAGGCGUAGUCGAUGGGAAACAGGUUAAUAUUCCUGUACUUGGUGUUACUGCGAAGGGGGGACGGAGAAGGCUAUGUUAGCCGGGCGACGGUUGUCCCGGUUUAAGCAUGUAGGCUGGUUAUCCGUGCAAAUCCGGAUAAUCAAGGCUGAGGUGUGAUGACGAGGCACUACGGUGCUGAAGUAACAAAUGCCCUGCUUCCGUGAAAAGCCUCUAAGCAUCAGGUAACAUCAAAUCGUACCCCAAACCGACACAGGUGGUCAGGUAGAGAAUACCAAGGCGCUUGAGAGAACUCGGGUGAAGGAACUAGGCAAAAUGGUGCCGUAACUUCGGGAGAAGGCACGCUGGUGUGUAGGUGAAGUCCCUGCGGAUGGAGCUGAGACCAGUCGAAGAUACCAGCUGGCUGCAACUGUUUAUUAAAAACACAGCACUGUGCAAACACGAAAGUGGACGUAUACGGUGUGACGCCUGCCCGGUGCCGGAAGGUUAAUUGAUGGGGUUAUCCGUAAGGAGAAGCUCUUGAUCGAAGCCCCGGUAAACGGCGGCCGUAACUAUAACGGUCCUAAGGUAGCGAAAUUCCUUGUCGGGUAAGUUCCGACCUGCACGAAUGGCGUAAUGAUGGCCAGGCUGUCUCCACCCGAGACUCAGUGAAAUUGAACUCGCUGUGAAGAUGCAGUGUACCCGCGGCAAGACGGAAAGACCCCGUGAACCUUUACUAUAGCUUGACACUGAACAUUGAGCCUUGAUGUGUAGGAUAGGUGGGAGGCUUUGAAGCGUGGACGCCAGUCUGCGUGGAGCCAACCUUGAAAUACCACCCUUUAAUGUUUGAUGUUCUAACGUUGGCCCCUGACCGGGGUUGCGGACAGUGUCUGGUGGGUAGUUUGACUGGGGCGGUCUCCUCCCAAAGCGUAACGGAGGAGCACGAAGGUUAGCUAAUCCUGGUCGGACAUCAGGAGGUUAGUGCAAUGGCAUAAGCUAGCUUGACUGCGAGCGUGACGGCGCGAGCAGGUGCGAAAGCAGGUCAUAGUGAUCCGGUGGUUCUGAAUGGAAGGGCCAUCGCUCAACGGAUAAAAGGUACUCCGGGGAUAACAGGCUGAUACCGCCCAAGAGUUCAUAUCGACGGCGGUGUUUGGCACCUCGAUGUCGGCUCAUCACAUCCUGGGGCUGAAGUAGGUCCCAAGGGUAUGGCUGUUCGCCAUUUAAAGUGGUACGCGAGCUGGGUUUAGAACGUCGUGAGACAGUUCGGUCCCUAUCUGCCGUGGGCGCUGGAGAAUUGAGGGGGGCUGCUCCUAGUACGAGAGGACCGGAGUGGACGCAUCACUGGUGUUCGGGUUGUCAUGCCAAUGGCACUGCCCGGUAGCUAAAUGCGGAAGAGAUAAGUGCUGAAAGCAUCUAAGCACGAAACUUGCCCCGAGAUGAGUUCUCCCUGAGACUAUAAGUCUCCUGAAGGAACGUUAAAGACGAUGACGUUGAUAGGCCGGGUGUGUAAGCGCAGCGAUGCGUUGAGCUAACCGGUACUAAUGAACCGUGAGGCUUAACCUUACAACGCCGAAG
rnacentral:rRNA from 1 species